ensembl:lncRNA
GCGACGUUCGUGACAACAGCUGUGUGCAGAUCAACAAUGGAUAAUAUAUCAAGUACGGGAGAGAGUAUGAGCGUGCAGCGUUUAAAGCGUGGAAGUACUGACCUUAUUUUGAGUUUGAUUCCAUAAAAAGUGACAAAAACAUUAGCGUCCGUUGUGCGUGGGAAGAAAACUUCUUUUUACAGCGAAAAAAACCCCCCCUUAACUUCCAAGCAAGCGCCGAGUGCGCUACGACUGUAAUGGGAAAUUCAUAGAGAAACUCUCGGAUUCUUCCACUGACCGCUGCGGCACACCUGCACCAGGGUAAACCUCCGCCUACUCCAGUCCUGCUUUACAGGUCAAAGUGUUUGUUUGUUAAGUAGCAACUGAGAAAUCAUUCCACUGAAAGUGAUCAGCUGGGAGAAAAAAAUGAAUGAAAACGCAUCCAGUGUCCAAAAAACAACUGUGAAAGACCUUCAGAAAGCCUGAAGAACUAUGACGUGUCAGAACCGAUCUGAAUCCUGCUCUGGUGGAAAUUUAGAAACGGUUAACGUCAAACGGCUACCUAACAGGGCCUCCCAUCAGUCAGAAGACAGGCCAAAUUAACACCCAGCACUUGGCUGAAUGCUUCUGAGAAAAGGUGUGAACAGGCUGUGUGGCAGUUUCCCUGCUGAAAGGAAGUCUGGGUCCUCUCCUGUGCACAACAAAUGCUGACCACAAUACCUCAUGAUCUAAAGAAAGCUGAAGGAAAAUCAUUUGAAAAGAUUUUGGAAUGAGCAGGCCAAAUUAAAUAUAGCAUAAAACAAUAUAACUACAAUUUUCUUGGGUACAUGUUUUACUUUAAAUACGAGGAUGGGAGCUCUUUGCAGUCCAUAGACGAGCGCUUGUACUUUAUCAACCCAGCAGCUCUGGACUCAAUGCCUGUAGCAGGCUUAUUCAUCCCUGUCAGCCAGACUCAAUUUGUUUAGUUGUGACAUUUUAGAUUUAGGUUGUGAACAGUGAAGCAGUGAACAAACGCAGUAUGGUUGAGUAGCUGAGGCUUUCUGAAGUCAAAUAAAUAUAUAAAGAACCCUUUUAAAAAUUGUUGUUCCAGGGACAUGACAUGCCCAGGAAUAAUGGACCUGUCUCUCUGUGUAUGCAGCAGGUUUGCUUCUGUUGAGAGAUCAUUAGUGCUUCUUUUUUUUUGAAGGGGGCUGUUCUCAUUUCAAAGGAAGGUUCUGUGAUUUCCUGUCUUCAUCUUAGUGACCAGUCACUGCUUCCUUUUUUUUAAAAUAAAAACCGGACAGUGGUACAGAUUUCUAAGUGGUAAUAAAUAAACUGACGACCAGAUCUUUCAGGUAAAAUGAACUGCACUUUUUAAAUGCGUCAUUAAAACUUACAUCAUCA